AUACGAGCGCGAAAGGCUGCUGGGAAUCGUUAUGAAAAUUCAUUAAUGUGUUAGUGAUUCCCAGCAGCCUUUCGCGCUCGUAU